rnacentral:lncRNA from 1 species
CUUCUCAAGGGUUCAGAUUUAAAUAAAUGAAAGACGGCCUUUCAUUUCUAUUUUGCUAGACCUCAUUUUGAUCAUUGUUCUGAACUUUGUUAACCUCCAUAGCUGCAAAGGAAAAUUAAGAAUCAGUGAUAAAAUCAAAUAAAUUAGUACUUGCUAAACACACACAUAUAUAUAUAGGAAAAAUACUCUGUGUAUUUACGAGAGAGUGAGACCUACAUUGUCUGCUUCCGCUUCAUCUGCCAGCAAGCCUUUCUGUAGCCUGACAGCCUUCGGGAAACAUCAAUGUGUUUGAGGAGAUUGUCCUGAUCAUGGCACUUUCAAG